AUCACUUGAAUCCGGGAGGCGGAGGUUGCAGUGAGCCGAGAUCAUGCCACUGCACUCCAGCCUGGGCAACAGAGUGAGACUCUAUCUCAAAAUAUAAUAAAAUAAAAAUAAAAUACACUCUGAUGAUGGCUGCUUCCCCCAAGGGUGCCUCAAGCUCUCUCCUUUUCUUUCAGUGCCAUCUGCCAUUAUCGUGCCCUCGUUCUCUUCCAGUGCUCUGGCGGAGCAGGUGGCGCCCAGGCCCACAGUGCCCUCUCCAAGUUCUGUCCUCCAUGUGCUCAAGUUAUCCCCUAAACUUGUCACAUGGGUCAUCCUGGAACUUUGCUUAACUGCUUCCUGGGUUGGGGCCUUUAUUUCCUGGCUCCCUUCUCUUCUUGCUUAAUUUCCCCUCCCUUUGCUGCAGCACAUACCCAGUUAAUCCCUUUCUAACAUUAAAAAAAGAAAAAGAGAAUAGUUCUUGGACCUCCUCAUGAUAGAAAUUAUAUCUUUAGGCCGGGUGUGGUGGCUCACUUGUGUAAUCCCAGCAGUUUGGGAGGCCGAGGCAGGCAGCUCACUUGAGCCCAGGAGUUUGAGACCAGCCUGGGCAACAUGGGGAAACCCCAUCUCUACAAAAAAUACAAAAAAUUAGCUGAGCAUGGUGGCACGUGCCUGUAGUCCCAGCUACCCAGGAGGCUGAGGUAGGAGGAUCACCUGAGCCCUGGAGGUUGAGGCUGC
rnacentral:lncRNA from 1 species